ensembl:snRNA U6 U6 spliceosomal RNA
GUGCUCACUUUGGCAACACAUAUACUAAAACUGGAAUGAUAGAGAGAAGAUUAGCUGGCCCCUGGGCAAGGAUGACACACAAGUUCAGGAAGCAUUCCAUAUUUUU